GCCCCAGUAGUAUAAUCCAUUACCUUGGUCUUGUAAACCAAAAAUGAAACUCUAACGCUUCCUGGGACA
rnacentral:tRNA from 1 species